GGUCGUCGCUUUUAUUGGGCCUAAAACGUCCGUAGCCUGUUUGGUAAAUCUGUGGGUAAAUCAACCAGCUUAACUGGUUGAAUUCUGCAGAGACUGCCAGACUAGGGACCGGGAGAGGUGUGGGGUACUCUAGGGGUAGGGGUAAAAUCCUGUCAUCCUUAGAGGACCACCAGUUGCGAAGGCGCCACACUGGAACGGAUUCGACGGUCAGGGACGAAGCCUAGGGGCACGAACCGGAUUAGAUACCCGGGUAGUCCUAGGUGUAAACGCUGUGAACUUGGUGUCGGGGAUCCGUCAUGGGUCCCCGGUGCCGGAGUGAAGAUGUUAAGUUCACUGCCUGGGGAGUACGGUCGCAAGGCUGAAACUUAAAGGAAUUGGCGGGGGAGCACUGCAACGGGAGGAGCGUGCGGUUUAAUUGGAUUCAACGCCGGAAAACUCACCAGGGCCGACUGUUAGAUGAAGACCAGUGUAACGAACUUGUCGGAUUUUCAGAGAGGUGGUGCAUGGCCGUCGUCAGUUCGUACUGUAAAGCGUUCUGUUAAGUCAGAUAACGAACGAGACCCUCAUCUCUAUUUGCUACCUGUCUCUCCGGAGACAGCGCACUAUAGAGAGACCGCUGGUGUUAAACCAGAGGAAGGCGAGGGCAACGACAGGUCAGUAUGCCCCGAAUGUCCUGGGCUACACGCGCGCUACAAAGGACGGGACAAUGGGAAGCCAGGCCGAGAGGCCGAGCUAACCCGAAACCCGUUCGUAGUUCGGAUUGAGGGCUGUAACUCGCCCUCAUGAAGCUGGAUUCCGUAGUAAUCGUGUUUCAAAAUAGCACGGUGAAUAUGCCCCUGCUCCUUGCACACACCGCCCGUCAAACCAUCUUAGUUGGGGGUGGGUGAGGCUGCGCUUCAUGGCGUAUUCGAGCCUGCCUUCGACAAGGAGGGUUAAGUCGUAACAAGGUAUCUGUAGGGGAACCUGCAGAUG
rnacentral:rRNA from 1 species